AAAGAUUAAGACCAGAUAAAGCAACAUCUCCAUCACCUUCAAUCACAUAUCAACAAAGUGACCGAUCACCAGUCCGAACAAUAUUGUUCAAAGAUGGAGCAGAGUGUAAAAAGGGGAAUAAAAGAUUGAGUCCAGAUAAAGGAACGUCUCCAGUGCCCUCCCGCACAUCAGUGGAUAGACCAAUACUGUUCAAAGAUGGAGCUCAAAGCAAGGAAAGGCUGAGACCAGAUAAAACAACAUCUCCAGCACCAUCCUGUACAUCUCUACAAAGUGACCAGUCACUGGACCGGCCAAUUAUGUUUACGGAUGCAGCUCAGACUCAGGG